UGGGGAAUAUUGCACAAUGGGGGAAACCCUGAUGCAGCGACGCCGCGUGAACGAAGAAGGUAUUCGUAUCGUAAAGUUCUGUCCUAUGGGAAGAUAAUGACAGUACCAUAGAAGAAAGCUCCGGCUAAAUACGUGCCAGCAGCCGCGGUAAUACGUAUGGAGCGAGCGUUGUCCGGAAUUAUUGGGCGUAAAGGGUACGCAGGCGGUUUAAUAAGUCGAAUGUUAAAGAUCGGGGCUCAACCCCGCAAAGCAUUGGAAACUGAUAAACUUGAGUAGUGGAGAGGAAAGUAGAAUUCCUAGUGUAGUGAUAAAAUACGUAGAUAUUAAGAAGAAUACCAGUAGCGAAGGCGACUUUCUGGACACAAACUGACGCUGAGGUACGAAAGCGUGGGGAGCAAACAGG
rnacentral:rRNA from 1 species